UGGGGAAUAUUGCGCAAUGGGCGGAAGCCUGACGCAGCGACGCCGCGUGGGGGAUGACGGCCUUCGGGUUGUAAACCUCUUCAGCAUCGACGAAGCCUUUUUGGGUGACGGUAGGUGCAGAAGAAGCCCCGGCUAACUUCGUGCCAGCAGCCGCGGUAAUACGAAGGGGGCUAGCGUUGUUCGGAAUUACUGGGCGUAAAGGGCGCGUAGGCGGACUGUUAAGUCAGGGUGAAAUCCCGGGGCUCAACCCCGGAACUGCCUUUGAUACUGGCGGUCUUGAGUUCGGGAGAGGUGAGUGGAAUUCCGAGUGUAGAGGUGAAAUUCGUAGAUAUUCGGAGGAACACCAGUGGCGAAGGCGGCUCACUGGCCCGAUACUGACGCUGAGGCGCGAAAGCGUGGGGAGCAAACAGGAUUAGAUACCC
rnacentral:rRNA from 1 species